rnacentral:ncRNA from 2 species
UGGGAUAAGUAAAACCAUCCCAUGGAUGUGGCGCAAGCUGAACAAAGAG